AUUGAACGCUGGCGGCAUGCCUUACACAUGCAAGUCGAACGGUAACAGGUCUUCGGAUGCUGACGAGUGGCGAACGGGUGAGUAAUACAUCGGAACGUGCCUAGUAGUGGGGGAUAACUACUCGAAAGAGUGGCUAAUACCGCAUGAGAUCUACGGAUGAAAGCAGGGGAUCGCAAGACCUUGUGCUACUAGAGCGGCCGAUGGCAGAUUAGGUAGGUGGUGGGAUAAAAGCUCACCAAGCCGACGAUCUGUAGCUGGUCUGAGGGGACGAUCAGCCACACUGGGACUGGGACACGGCCCAGACUCCUACGGGAGGCAGCAGUGGGGAAUUUUGGACAAUGGGCGAAAGCCUGAUCCAGCAAUGCCGCGUGCAGGAUGAAGGCCUUCGGGUUGUAAACUGCUUUUGUACGGAACGAAAAGCCCCGGGUUAAUACCCUGGGGUCAUGACGGUACCGUAAGAAUAAGCACCGGCUAACUACGUGCCAGCAGCCGCCGUAA
rnacentral:rRNA from 1 species